UCCAUUACAACCAUAAAGCUUCAAAAAACAGAGGAACUCCAGCACUAAGCAAUAGAUACAUCGUGGGGAUAUCAUAUACUACAUAAGUACGUCUUAAAUCACAGGUAUGUGCAAACAGAAGGUCAGUAAACUUGUAGAUAUAUAUUUACCUCAAGUUUAGUUUUAUGAUGAUUAUGAUUACUAGUUUACCACAAUCUUGGAAUUUAUUUGACACUGUACAUGAAAAGCUGAACAACAACACAUCUACUUGUCUAAGCACAAACCUUUUAUUUAAACGGAAUAACCAAACCACAAACAUUCAACUUCGAUGUAGAAAAAAAAAAAGGCAAAUUUUGGAUAGAGGUCGAACCUUGAUCGUCGUGUCGACUUGCCCACACGCGCUGCUGCAGAAGGAUUGAUAGCUCGCCGGAGAAAGACGACGGAGCCCCUCCCCAUGGAACAGCUGCAGCUGGCGAUGGCCGGAGAGGCGGCAGAUCGCCUGAAUUCUCCCGAGGACCAACUCCGAUGCCAUGUUUGCCCAAGCAAGCGGUUAUCCUUUGUUCCCCUCUUCUAAUUUUCCCCUACUUCAAUCUACAAGCUUCUCCAGGGAUCGAGCAGUAGUUGUAGUUGUAGUACUAUCGGAGUAUUACGCAAGGUAUCGGCAGUCAUGGAAAGCUUCGUUGGCCUCGUUUGGACCGGCCGGGUCAGAGAUUGACUGAGAUUAGCAGUCAUCCUUUGACGGAACGUUCUUUGGUCUCGUCACUGAUGACUAGAUAAUCGCAAGUCACAACGUGUCUCCUGAUCUCAUCUUUGAUUUCUCCUCCUGUAGCUAUCUUGUUGAUUACUACUAGGUUUGUCUCCGCACACCUGGGAUGCUCCCAGUUUAGUUAUUAUCCCUCUCAGGCUCUGCCACGUAGAGCAGAAUUACCAUGGCUGUAGACCCCAAGGCGCCGUUUGGGCGCGUAACUGAAUUUUUUAGAGAUGUUUCGUUACGAUCCUUGAUUGCCAAUUUGGCUGGAAAGAUAUGGCAUCUGUAGCAAUAAUUUUGAUCGAGAAAACGUGUACGCGUUUCAGCGGAAGCCUGGAAAGAUGCUUCGAGAAGAAUAUUUUGCCAAUUGGUCAUACAUAUUACAUGGUCGCUGGCCAACUUUCUUUUAUGACUCGGCUCAAACUUUUAAUCCAUGGUCUCUGAAAACUUAAUAUAGACGUGAUUCACAAAAAAAAAAACAGAAAAAUUCACACGAUUCUUCACAGUAACUGUAGAUCUCGGGUUGUAAAAUUCUCCGGUCGUGUGGUGGUUGUCAUAAACCGAACGACAACAAUGUCGUAUGGUGAAAAAAAAUACUGCCACACGAUUAACUCACUGGCAUUUUUCAGCCUAUCUGCAAUAGAUUCUUCUGUAAAACUUGGUGAAUUUGUAUUUUCGGUGCUAUGGUAUCACCGAUGACUUCUCAUCCAAGACCUGCACUUCCCCGUUCAAUGCAACUACGACAUAUGAUCUGCAGAUAAGGAUUGCAAUGUCUUAGAAUAUGUAGAGCACUGCAUAGCUGCAUUACUGUGCACUCAAGUAGUAAGUGUAGCAUUGAUAGAAAUCUUGGGCAUCAAUGAUUACUAAAUAUCAUAAAGGAAAGGCUGCUUCUCCUAGGUCUAACUAUCUAUAUCUUUGAAACACCUUGGUCUAGUACUAGAUUAAACUAUAUAUAGUCAUGUUAGUUUGAGAAAUUUACGGAAUGCUGGAAACUAUCCCAUGGUCCACGACACCGGCAAUUUUCUCCAAGCUUUCUGCUACCUUACCUGUAACCGAAACAAGUCAAACCAGCUAAAAAUCAAUCGAAGAAAUGGUCACUAAAUCAUCGAGUUAACUUAGCAUACCAAGAUCCGGGAUGGGAGUUGUGAAGAUAACAUCAAGUACAUGAUGGCCCUCCUUGGUAACCAAUGGGAAGUCACCUCCUAAUGGACCAGCGGUUCCAAUCGAUGGCCGCCUCCAUACCUUCAUCAGGUUAUCAUGUAACGAUGACCAAUGAUGGAAAGUACUCAGAUUCACAUCACCACAAAUCCAGUAGUUGCUCAGACUUCAGAGUAAACAUUAGAAUUACAUAAUAAAUAUAUGAGUGCACCUCUGCGUCUCCUAGGAACAAGUCAUCAAUCUCUUCAGCAGUGUCGAUCCAAUUUGCCUGAAAUGACCCGUUCUUCUAUUAAUGAUGAUUAUUGCAAUUGCAGAAAACUGAUCACUCCAGUACCAGAAGGUGGCUUACACUUUUCACCAAGACUGGAAUUGAACCUUCGAUGCCUUUCACAUAUUUUUCAUGGCCAAUGAUGAAGGCAAGUUUAUCAGCUGAUUUAACAAUACCCUAUGGAGGCAUUUUCACAUGACAAUGUGGAAAAGAAGAGAACAGAUUACACCAAGGUUGUCUCGAUGAGCAACUAAAUGAAUCUCAUUUCUGAUGAGCUUUUUGAAUACCUUCUCCACCAUGAAAGAAGGCUCUCCGCUCUCCGUUUUCCGACGGCCAAUGACAGCGGUCAUUGUGUCCUCUUCAAUU
rnacentral:lncRNA from 1 species